rnacentral:rRNA from 1 species
AUGAACGCUGGCGGUAUGCUUAACACAUGCAAGUCGAACGGUCACUUCGGUGAUAGUGGCGGACAGGUGAGUAACGCGUGAGAAUCUGUCUUCAGGUCGGGGACAACAGUUAGAAAUGACUGCUAAUACCGGAUGUGCCUUUGGGUGAAAGAUUUAUUGCCUGAAAAAGAGCUCGCGUCAGAUUAGCUAGUAGGUGGUGUAAGAGACUACCUAGGCUCCGAUCUGUAGCUGGUCUGAGAGGACGAUCAGCCACACUGGAACUGAGACACGGUCCAGACUCCUACGGGAGGCAGCAGUGGGGAAUUUUCCGCAAUGGGCGAAAGCCUGACGGAGCAAUACCGCGUGAGGGACGAAGGCUUUUGGGUCGUAAACCUCUUUUCUCAAGGAAGAUGAUGACGGUACUUGAGGAAUAAGCAUCGGCUAACUCUGUG